GAACGCUGAAACCAGAGCUUGCUUUGGUGGAUGAGUGGCGAACGGGUGAGUAACACGUGGGUGAUCUGCCCUACACUUUGGGAUAAGCCUGGGAAACUGGGUCUAAUACCGAAUAUUCACACCACCGUAGGGGUGGUGUGGAAAGCCUUGUGCGGUGUGGGAUGAGCCUGCGGCCUAUCAGCUUGUUGGUGGGGUAAUGGCCUACCAAGGCGUCGACGGGUAGCCGGCCUGAGAGGGUGUACGGCCACAUUGGGACUGAGACACGGCCCAGACUCCUACGGGAGGCAGCAGUGGGGAAUAUUGCACAAUGGGCGCAAGCCUGAUGCAGCGACGCCGCGUGGGGGAUGACGGCCUUCGGGUUGUAAACUCCUUUCGCUAGGGACGAAGCCUUAUGGUGACGGUACCUGGAGAAGAAGCACCGGCUAACUACGUGCCAGCAGCCGCGGUAAUACGUAGGGUGCGAGCGUUGUCCGGAAUUACUGGGCGUAAAGAGCUCGUAGGUGGUUUGUCGCGUCGUCUGUGAAAUCCCGGGGCUUAACUUCGGGCGUGCAGGCGAUACGGGCAUAACUUGAGUGCUGUAGGGGAGACUGGAAUUCCUGGUGUAGCGGUGAAAUGCGCAGAUAUCAGGAGGAA
rnacentral:rRNA from 1 species